CAAUAUAAUAAAGAAAAUGCUAUACAACAUGCUAUGAAACAAUAAGUAAACCAUCACACAAGUUGUUAUUCUCUUAUAUAAUAAGAGGGAAUAAGCAUGCUUAUUCAAGGCAAUCUGCUUUAUAACCUCAUUAUUGACAAAUGUAGGUCUUUAAUAAAAAGGUUGGGGAAUCCUCCAGUUCACCAUAGCUAUAGGGAGCAGAACCGGAUAGCAGAUGCAAUGGCUAAGGAAGGAGCCAAGAAAAAUCAGUAUGUUGGUUGUAAAUUUUUUGAUGAUCCACCUUCUUUUGUAGCCCAUGAUGUUUGGGCAGAUAGUGUAGGCUCUUGUCAUCGCAUAAACCUUCCUCUCCCUGUGAACCCUUCUGGGCAACGCCCAAUAGUUUUUGUAUUGAAGUCAGACUAGGCUCAAAC
rnacentral:lncRNA from 1 species